rnacentral:lncRNA from 1 species
AUGAUCGGGUCACGGGUCAGAUGGGUUGAUCCAGAUUAACCCGGGUCAACCCAAAAAAAUUAAUAAAAAACUAAUUAAAGGGCAUUUUAUGAAUCACGGGCAGGGCCGGUUAAAGAGGAGGAGCUUAUAUAGGCUCCAUUUGCUAAAUUAACCUAAUGAGGUGAAAUUUAUCUUCCCCUCCGAUUUGAAAUUUUUUUGAUUGAGUUCAGGGCAUAAAGCCCUCGAUAAUGGAGAGUAGUCUUCCCCUCCGAUUCAACUUGAGAAGAAUCUUGUCCUCACCUAAAGCAUCUCUUACAUUCCAAAGGCUAGAAGUCUGCUCUCUUCAUAUUUGAGCAUCUUUGCCUCUUUUACUCUGAACAGAGAAGGAGCUGCUCUAGAAUGCUCUCUUUUAAGGUGCAGAUGAGGUGGAGGAAUCGGUUGUGCACAGUUC